CAUGAUAACUCUUGAACGGUAAAAGUGACACUUAAAAAUUUCAAAUUUGAUUUUGUGUUGAGGUGGGGAUCCCGCUUACAUGUUCAACCCCGCCUUAUUCGGUAUGUAUGUGCUUGUGGUAAGUCAGGAGCCUGUAAUUCAAUGAAUGUCGUUUUUUAUGUGUUACAUACUUGUUUUUCGUUCAUUUUUUUUACAUAAAUUUGUUCGUUUAUUUUUCUCGUUUGAAUAUUGUUUUACAAUGUCAUUUCAGUGCCUUUUAUUGAUAACUAUAUGCGGUAUUGACUUUGCUCAUUGUUGAAAGCUGCAUAUGACCCAUAGUUUUUAGUGUUUGUGUGAUCUGGUCUUUUGUGGAGAGUUCUUAUUGGCACUCAUGCCACAUACGGGGGAGGGUUGGGAUCCCGCUAACAUGUUUAACCCCGCC
rnacentral:lncRNA from 1 species